UCGAACGGUCUUCCAUUGAAAGCUUGCUGGAUAUGUGGAGAUAGUGGCGGACGGGUGAGUAACGCGUGAAUACCUGGCCAUCGGAGGGGGACAACGGGUGGAAACGGUCGCUAAUACCGCGUAAGCCGGAGGGUGAAAGGCCAUGUAAGUGGCCGCCGAUGGAUGGGUUCGCGUCCUAUCAUCUAGUUGGUGGGGUAAGGGCCUACCAAGGCGAACACGGGUAGCCGGUCUGAGAGGGUGAUCGGCCACACUGGAACUGACAUACGGUCCACACUCCUACGGGAGGCAGCAGUGGGGAAUAUUGGGCAGUGGGGGGAACCCUGACCCAGCGACCCCGCGUGAGGGAAGAAGGUUUUCGGAUCGUAAACCUCUGUUGUACGGGAAGAAGGAAGUGACGGUACCGUACGAGGAACCCCCGGCAAACUACGUGCC
rnacentral:rRNA from 1 species